GACGGGGGCCCGCACAAGCGGAGGAACAUGUGGUUUAAUUCGAUGAUACGCGAGGAACCUUACCCGGGCUCGAACGGCUGGUGAAGAGAUCCAGAGAUGGUGACGUCCUUCGGGACACCAGUCGAGGUGCUGCAUGGUUGUCGUCAGCUCGUGCCGUGAGGUGUCGGCUUAAGUGCCAUAACGAGCGCAACCCUUGCCAUUAGUUACCAGCAUGUAGUGAUGGGGACUCUAGUGGGACUGCCACCGCAAGGUGAGAGGAAGGGGGGGAUGACGUCAAAUCAGCACGGCCCUUACGUCCGGGGCGACACACGUGUUACAAUGGGAGUUACAGAGGGGCACUACCUGGUGACAGGAUGGGAAUCUCGAAAAGCUCUCUCAGUCCGGAUCGGAGUCUGCAACCCGACUCCGUGAAGCUGGAUUCGCUAGUAAUCGCGCAUCAGCCAUGGCGCGGUGAAUACGUUCCCGGGCCUUGUACACACCGCCCGUCAAGCCAUGAAAGUCUGGGGCGCCUGAAGUUCGUGGGCGGAAGGAGCGACCUAGUUUGAAACAGGGAG
rnacentral:rRNA from 1 species